rnacentral:lncRNA from 1 species
AGGGGCCCUGGGAGUGGCUACCAGGCUGUAGGAUGACGCAUGAUGCAAGUCUGAAGUUGUAUGUGGCCAUCUUUGCCACCACAUUCAGAAAGCUUACCUGAGAAUGAAGUCAACACUGGAGAGAAAGAGAAAGAAAGAGGGAGAACAUAUCAGGUAGAAUCUCUCCACAAUGGCAACAAAGAUGGUCACUAGCAAGUCCAAGCCUCCAUUCUCUUUAAAACUUGCAAUCCUUGAGGACAAAGAAAAACGAUCUUUUUUUUCCAAUAUCUAUGUUACUUCUAAAAGAAGGUAUUAAGGAAAGCCUGUAUGAAAUUUCAUUCAUCAGUCAAGACCAUACUGGCCUUGAAUAAAAUUUAUAAGCAGUUUUUUUUUUUUUUUUUUUUUUU